rnacentral:rRNA from 1 species
CCUACGGGAGGCAGCAGUAGGGAAUCUUCCACAAUGGACGAAAGUCUGAUGGAGCAACGCCGCGUGAGCGAUGAAGGCCUUCGGGUCGUAAAGCUCUGUUGUUAGGGAAGAACAAGUACCGGAGUAACUACCGGUACCUUGACGGUACCUAACCAGAAAGCCACGGCUAACUACGUGCCAGCAGCCGCGGUAAUACGUAGGUGGCAAGCGUUGUCCGGAAUUAUUGGGCGUAAAGCGCGCGCAGGCGGUCCUUUAAGUCUGAUGUGAAAGCCCACGGCUCAACCGUGGAGGGUCAUUGGAAACUGGGGGACUUGAGUACAGAAGAGGAAAGCGGAAUUCCACGUGUAGCGGUGAAAUGCGUAGAGAUGUGGAGGAACACCAGUGGCGAAGGCGGCUUUCUGGUCUGUAACUGACGCUGAGGCGCGAAAGCGUGGGGAGCAAACAGGAUUAGAUACCCUGGUAGUCCACGCCGUAAACGAUGAGUGCUAAGUGUUAGGGGGUUUCCGCCCCUUAGUGCUGCAGCUAACGCAUUAAGCACUCCGCCUGGGGAGUACGGCCGCAAGGCUGAAACUCAAAGGAAUUGACGG